GCAUCAUCAGAGUCUUUCAUGUGAUUAAUUCUCCUCUGCAAUUUGUGAAGAGAGCAAUCUCUGAACCAAAGGAGGUGGAGAAAUGUUCCUUACACCUAGAGAAAAAGGUGAAGUGGGACACAGCUCAGCCUGAGACAGAUGUCUAUGUAAGUGCUAGAAGUUUCAUCCAAACUAUCUGCCCAAGUUCCUACUGCAGACAAUUGAGGCCUUCCAGAAGGCAAGUUCUUCACCGUAUCUGAGACAAUAAUCACAGAGCUGGGAUGAAGCUCCUUCCAGUGGUAUUGAUCUGUCCCCAUUACCUCUACAGGAAGUUUGCAGGACUGUUAAAUACCUAACACUUAUACAGUACCCUCAGAAAUCCUGAACUUUAGCCACUCAUUAACUUUAAAAGGGCCAGACUUAACCUUCUGCAAUAAUUUGUUGCUUUUGCCUCAUUGAAAUCAAAGACUGUUAGGAGUCUAUGCACCCUUGAGGAACAGUACCUGUGACUUUGGGCUGCAUUUGACGCUCUCUGAGAAAUCAAGGGACGACAGAUCUCUUAAGUCCAUUGUAGCCUUUGCUGUUUAGGAGACACAUUAGAGAGACUUAUACUGCUUAAAUUUCCUAUAUGGAUAGAACUCAUCACCAGUAAAACCAUGCCUCCAAGGAGAGGAGUUUCCUUGUUCAUGAAUGUCAUCUCCAAACUGAUUAUGGCCGCAGGUGUCUCCAAUCUCAGCUCCUCUGCUGAGGUUAUUACAAGUCAGGAUAAGCUGUGGUCUGACCUUGCAGUGUACUUCCUCUGCCAAAAAGAAAGAAAAAGAAGGAACAAGAGCUCCCAGGACAAGAAACGAAAAUUGAGACAAUGGGGAGACACUUUUGAGCAAAGCAAAAUGCUGACAGUAGGAAGAAUGUAUUGCAUCAAAACCUACAUCUAAAUUGAAUGUAUAGAAUAAUUUAUUUUUCAACAUACUCAAUGAAAAUUAUUUUAGAAUGUAAUUCAGAUCUUUGCACUGUUAUAUCAAAAAUAUCACACCAGAAUUGAGAACAAAACCUCUGAAAAUGUGGCAAUGAUGUCCAAUAUCUGAGUAAUUUACUUCAUUUUAUCCCUUUAAUGAUUGUUUAUCUUGAGGUGUUUCCUUUAUGAACAUGCUUAUAAAUCAUAAUCAAAUCAUCACCUUUGUGCUUAUUCUGAUACAUAGAUUUUUGUCUAUUCAUCCAUUUUGAAGUAGAUUUUCAAUAUUUGAAUUAUUCAAUUUUCUUUUCCAAACCCUGUCCAGCUUAUCAACUCUCUUUUAAAAUUAUUCUAGUGCACAUCAGAAGUAGAAAUAGUAAUAUAUUGACGGCCUCACUAGCCUCCAAGUAGUGUAAAAAGAGCAUUCUCACCAGUUGUGGAUGCAAUCUACUGUAACAGCAAUUAUAAGGGAAGGCGAUGAGGACACCUUGCCCACUGAGAUUCAAAAGGUAAUUUGGGAUAACAGGACUCAAUUUGAAAAGGAUUUCCAAUCUUGGUGGUAUGUAGAUAAUUUCACUUAUGACCCCACUAACAGUAAAGCCACAGCUUUUGUUUUGACAAUACGCGAUGCUUCAAUAUACACCAUAUACCAAAUCAUUGUGCUGGGAUUAAUUCACCAUGGAACUGUACUCUGUCCGUUAGAACACAGAGUAUGGGUCAAACAAAAAGGGAACAAAUGGCAAACUAUUGAUGUUGAUGCAUCUGUUGCACAGGAACAACAGGGACUUAUUUGUGAAAGUAAUGCUAUUAAGGACCAAGACAUUUAUUCUGACACUGAACAAAAUGUUUGUCAUUUUCAAAUACAUCCUGAUGAAACUGUACUUAUAUAAGUUGGAAAUGGAUGUGUUUGUAUAAGAACCCUUUGUGAUUCUAUAUUUAUACAUAACACCACUGUAGAGACAUAUAAUCAGUCAAAUAUCUGUAUCUGUAAUUUUACCAAAAUUAGGGGAUAUGACUUUAACUACUCAGCUCCUGUCACAACCCUCCAAUUGCUACAAUCUAACUAUACAUUCUAUCAAGAUUUAUUGCCUACCCCUAUUGGAAUGAAUCUCAAAUUGGUAAUAAAACUUUUGCAACAUGAUGACCUGAGUCAAUUUCUAAAACAAAUUUGGACAAUGGACAAAGAAUCUUGACUACCGUCCAUCAUGAUGCAGAGGAGAGACACCAUGUGCUACAAGAAGUGAAGAAAGAUGGAGAACAUCACUGAUGGGAAACUUUUUGGAUGGUCACCAACAGCAACUGGAAUUUGGAAUUUGAUGCUGCAUCCAAUUGUAGUUUUGUUAGUUUUGACCUUAUUAUGUCUAUCGCUAAUAAGAAUUUUGUAUAUCAAAGUUUGGCAAAAGCUAAAACAAAUUAUGUCAACCUAACAUGUAAAACACAUACAAUCAACUGAUUCUGUAUGUGUAUAUACAAUUGUAUAUAACUAGCAUUAAUUGUGACCCUUAAACCAAACAGCUUAUCAAAUAAUUGGACUCUUACCACUGAUCUGAAAUACACCACAUAUUUAUAACACAGAGGCAAGAGGAAACCGUGCUACCACUCCGUGAGUCAAUAAAGUGGAUUAACUGUAGUCACAGGGUGGAGCCUGCUAGCAGUACUAGCAGUAGUUUGGUAUAAGCUCCAAAGGAGGUAAAGGCCUGAGCUGUAGCGAGGCCAAGAAAUCCUGUCCUCUAAAAACCCACAAAGGAACAGAGUGGCAGAGUGAGCAUCGAUGCAUAUGAGCUUGGAUUUCGGAUCAUGUGAUUGACACAUGAACAGUGAGUGGCUUUUUCAAGACUCAGUUAUCAAGGAAUAAAGUUGUGGGUGCAAGGGGUGUCAUGCAUACCUUUCCCAUUUCAUGUAAUUUGACUACAAGCCAACCACUUUACUGCACAAAUAUGACAGCCCAAGUGAGCCUUCUUUGAGGUCUCCCUGCUAAGUAGCGUGGCUGCAUGGUGGUGAUCUCCCCUGGAGCUGGGACACCUCUCAAGGUUGUUCCUCUAGGCAGAGAGACCUUUUACCAAUGACAGAUCUUUGGUAAGUGACUGAUAGCAUGCUGAAUUAAUACUAAUGAAACAUUACUGAUCCAUGUAGUUACUCAAUAUUAAUUAUUACAAACUUUGCAUAUAUAAUCCUUAGACAUAAACCAUUGACCAAGUCUGGGACUAGGAUUGGACCUAGCCACACCUAGACUCUUCUGAGUGGGAGUUUAGAAAGAAAGGGGGUCCACUCUGAACCUCAUGAAUCAAUGGGAGGGUCUUCCUUACCCUUCUGUGUCUCUGGUCUUUGUGCAAAUCAUGCUAACUCGAUUCUGACUCAAUUUUCCUUUGUGUGUUUCUUCCAUGCAGUAAUUAAUAGAGUGAACCUUGCCAUCAAACUUUUACAACAUCAUAUUAAAACCACUUUUGCUAAUACCUGUGACAGUAGUUCCUUAAGUGAUCCGAACUUUGUUAAAUUCCAUCUAAUUUAUUGAACUCUGUCAAAUUAUUGUUUCACCUCAGUAAAAUAUAUUGCUGCUUCUUUCUUUUGGGUGAGGCGCAUUCCACUCCUUCGCGAGUGGCCACAGGGAGGAGGAAGAAGGGACUCUGCCACAGGGGCUCCUUGGCAGGGGCUGGCUCAGACGUAAACAGAAAUUUGAGUCCAUUUGUUCUAAUCUUUCCAAAAGCAUUUAGGCCAUCAUAUUUUAUGGGGAAAUGGUUGCAAGAAAUUUAACUCUGUUGUGUGUUAUAUUAGACAGAGCGCUGGAAACUUUUCCAUGAAUAUUCAUUCAAAUUUGAACAUGAAUUUAAUUCGGACCAUGCUAAUGACCCUGUCUUUCUAAAAUUUGCCUAAAAUAAGUGUGUACAUUCAGAUGGAAAUUUUUCAAUUUACAAUUGCAGUUUGUAUAAGUUAUUUGCUUAUAAUUAUAUGUUUAGCCGAAGUGAAAUGCAAAUCAAUGUACUUUCCAUUACAUAAAGAUGACA